rnacentral:rRNA from 1 species
AGAGUUUGAUCAUGGCUCAGAUUGAACGCUGGCGGCAGGCUUAACACAUGCAAGUCGAGCGGGGGAAGUUGCUUCGGUAACUGACCUAGCGGCGGACGGGUGAGUAAUGCUUAGGAAUCUGCCUAUUAGUGGGGGACAACAUCUCGAAAGGGAUGCUAAUACCGCAUACGUCCUACGGGAGAAAGCAGGGGAUCUUCGGACCUUGCGCUAAUAGAUGAGCCUAAGUCGGAUUAGCUAGUUGGUGGGGUAAAGGCCUACCAAGGCGACGAUCUGUAGCGGGUCUGAGAGGAUGAUCCGCCACACUGGGACUGAGACACGGCCCAGACUCCUACGGGAGGCAGCAGUGGGGAAUAUUGGACAAUGGGGGGAACCCUGAUCCAGCCAUGCCGCGUGUGUGAAGAAGGCCUUUUGGUUGUAAAGCACUUUAAGCGAGGAGGAGGCUACUCUAGUUAAUACCUAGGGAUAGUGGACGUUACUCGCAGAAUAAGCACCGGCUAACUCUGUGCCAGCAGCCGCGGUAAUACAGAGGGUGCAAGCGUUAAUCGGAUUUACUGGGCGUAAAGCGCGCGUAGGUGGCCAAUUAAGUCAAAUGUGAAAUCCCCGAGCUUAACUUGGGAAUUGCAUUCGAUACUGGUUGGCUAGAGUAUGGGAGAGGAUGGUAGAAUUCCAGGUGUAGCGGUGAAAUGCGUAGAGAUCUGGAGGAAUACCGAUGGCGAAGGCAGCCAUCUGGCCUAAUACUGACACUGAGGUGCGAAAGCAUGGGGAGCAAACAGGAUUAGAUACCCUGGUAGUCCAUGCCGUAAACGAUGUCUACUAGCCGUUGGGGCCUUUGAGGCUUUAGUGGCGCAGCUAACGCGAUAAGUAGACCGCCUGGGGAGUACGGUCGCAAGACUAAACUCAAAUGAAUUGACGG